UCUCUGUUAGUAUAUCGGUUAGUACACGCGCCUGUCACUGCUAGGCCAUUAGGCCUUCAGUUGGUGGGACGCGCGAAAGCGGGGUUCGACUCCCCGACAGAGAG
rnacentral:tRNA from 1 species